CAGAGUACUAGGAUUACAGGCCUGAGCCACCAUGCCCAGCCUCCCUCAGAUUUUCUGCAUAGAUGAUCAUGUCGUCUGAAAAUAAAGACAAAUAUGGACAAUCCCUCUCGCUCCUCCUGUCCGACUUGGGCCCGGCAGAAUGGGUCCCGCAGAGAAGGGUGGCGAGAAGAAGGAGGGCCGUUCUGCCAUCAACGAAGUGGUGACCCGAGAAUACACCAUCAACAUUCGCAAGCGCAUCCAUGGAGUGGGCUUCAAGAAGCGUGCCCCUUGGGCACGCGAAGAGAUCCGGAAAUUUGCUAUGAAGGAGAUGGGAACUCCAGAUGUGUGCAUCGAUACCAGGCUCAACAAAGCUGUCUGGGCCAAAGGAAUAAGGAAUGUCCCAUACCAGAUCUGCGUGCGGUUUUCCAGAAAACGUAAUGAGGAUGAAGAUUCACUUUGGUUACCUAUGUACCUGUUACCACUUUCAAAAAUCUACAGACAGUCAAUGUGGAUGAGAUCUAACCACCGAUUGUCAAAUAUAUCAAAUAAAGUUAAAAACAACAACAACAACAAAAAAGAAAAUCUGAAUACCAUUUAUUUUUCUUGCACCAAUUAGACCUUUCAUCACAAUAUUGAAUGAUAGAGGUGAGAGUGGACAUCCUUGCUUCCCCAUCUUGGAGGGAAUGCAUUCAGUCUUUCACCAUUAAGGAUGGUGGAAGCUGUAGGUUUUUCAUAAGUGCCCUUUAUCAGGUUG